rnacentral:rRNA from 1 species
AUGGCAGCAGCGCGGGCGAAGCUCCUGGUGGUGGCGUCCAUGGCGUUGGCGCCGAGCUCCUGGAGAGAAAAGGGAGGCAGAGAUCUUGAGAGGAGAAGGAAGGAGCUAGAGGAAGGAAGGGAAGGGACGCUGUUGUUCUCAUCUGUGGCGGGGAACGGUGGCCUCCGACGACACAAUGGUCAAGCGAGGAUGGCGAGGUUCGGGAUUGAGCUUGUAAUUGAGCUCGAGGGGUCGAGGUGGCGCGUGGGAGAAACGGGAGAGGAGGAGCUCAUCUCCCUGGUCAACGAGGAGAGCGAGGAGGGUUGGAUCGAUGGCUUGGGUGGCGGCUCUCAAUGA